rnacentral:tRNA from 1 species
CAACUCUUAGUUUAAUGUAGGUAAAACAGUAGCCUUCUAAGUUAUUGAUGAAAGUUCAAGUCUUUCAGAGUUGA